rnacentral:tRNA from 1 species
GGGAAUUUAGCUCAGUGGUAGAGCACUUGCCUAGCAAGCGCAAGGCCCUGGGUUCGGUCCCCAGCUCCUA